UACGUAGGGCGCAAGCGUUAUCCGGAAUUAUUGGGCGUAAAGAGCUCGUAGGCGGUUUGUCGCGUCUGCCGUGAAAGCCCGGGGCUCAACUCCGGAUCUGCGGUGGGUACGGGCAGACUAGAGUGAUGUAGGGGAGACUGGAAUUCCUGGUGUAGCGGUGAAAUGCGCAGAUAUCAGGAGGAACCCCAGAGGCGAAGGCGGCAUUCUGGCUCGCAACUGACGCUCAGACACGACAGCAUGGGGAGCGAACGGG
rnacentral:rRNA from 1 species